UACAGAGGUCCCAAGCGUUGUUCGGAUUCAUUGGGCGUAAAGGGUGCGUAGGCGGCGCGGUAAGUCGGGUGUGAAAUCUCGGGGCUUAACUCCGAAACUGCAUUCGAUACUGCCGUGCUUGAGGACUGGAGAGGAGACUGGAAUUUACGGUGUAGCGGUGAAAUGCGUAGAUAUCGUAAGGAACACCCGUGGCGAAGGCGGCUCUCUGGGACGUGACUGACGCUGAGACGCGAAAGCGUGGGGAGCGAACAGG
rnacentral:rRNA from 1 species